AUGGCUGUUAGUUGGUGAUUAGUUAAGUAAUGAAUAACAGCAACAGUUUGUUAUUUACAAAGCCACAAUUCAUUAUUUAACUCAGUUAUCACUUAUGAAUAUCCUUUUACAGGCCAUUCGUUAUUACGAAUUUUAUUGUCUUAUUCACUUCUCAAAAUGGACUGAAAUCGCAAAAGUGUAAAAAUUCACACUUUAGAGAAUUGAGAGAAUGUCGUCACUUCUAAAAGACUAACGUUUUAGACCUUACUGAAAUGUCUGCCAUGUUUUAUAAUAUACAGGUAAGAUUUAAGUAAAUUUUUAGAAACGAAUAGUUUAUUUUAAAUUAUUAAAACUAAUUGAAAUUUCUUAAUUAUAUAACUCGUGAAAUUUAAUGUAUUUUUUUUAUCAUAAAUUCUUUUAAAUUUCUCAUUUUCGAGAUGGUAGAAACCGAAUUUAAUCGCUUGUAAAAAGACAAUGCUUCUUAAAACUGUAGGCUAAAUCGAUCGAAAUUUUAUACAGUAUAAUUUAAAGAAUUCUUCUUAAAUUUGGUGGCCUGAAUUCCCAGAUUACCUUUCUAAAAAGACGUCAGAGUAAUAGCUACUACUGGCUUCUGGACUAU